rnacentral:rRNA from 1 species
AUGUUAGCAGGUGCUAAAUCAAUAGGUGCCGGAGCUGCUACAAUUGCUUUAGCCGGAGCUGCUAUUGGUAUUGGAAACGUCCUCGGUUCUUUGAUUCAUUCCGUGGAGCGAAAUCCAUCAUUGGCUAAACAAUCAUUUGGUUAUGCCAUUUUGGGCUUUGCUGUCACCGAAGCUAUUGCAUUGUUUGCCCCAAUGAUGGCCUUUCUGAUCUCAUUCGUUUUCCAAUCGCAUAAAAAGUCAUGA